ensembl:lincRNA Gm26606 predicted gene, 26606
CUUCCUGUUCCGGUUGCCGCGGAGAUUCGGUUGCCUAGCAAGAGGCGAGGUUUCGGCAUUCACUUAUUUUAGAUGGUGGGUCCCCUGGAAGGAGUGUAUCGCUGCUGCAAGCUUCUAAGAUGUUUCCAUCCCGGCCUGCUGUGGGCAGUCCCUGUUAUGGUAUGUUGUCCCUGACACAUUAUAAAUCGUAAAUUCUUUUAUCAGCAAGACUAAGAACCUGCAAAAGGGAACCCUGAUAACUAGUAAUAUGUCUUGCUCAAUUCUUUGGGAUACAAUCUGGAUGUCACAUGAAGGACAACUCAAGACCCCCAUCCAGUUAUAUCAGCCUUUUAUUAUACUUACUGACUUUUGCACAGAGUAUCAUGAUGAAAACCCAAAAAGUGGUAUUUGAAACGAAGACAUUGACAUUAUUUAAGUAAUAGUAGCACAAGAUAAUGUAUUAUCAGUUCUGGAUUUUUUUUUUUUUUUUGAGUGGAAGGGGAGGUUGAGAUAGCCCAGGUCUAUAGCCCUAGAACUGGCCUCAAACUCCCAGAGAUCCACCUGCCUCUGCCUCCCAAGUGCUGGGAUUAAAGGCUUGCACUGCCACUGCCCGGCUUCUUUGGCCUUUUUAUACCUUCUUAGACAAAAGUUCCUAGAAAAUUACCUCAGAAAGAAAUGUUACAUAAAAUGGGAGUUACAGAAGGAUGUUGAUAUUAAGUUCAAAGCAGUGUUGCAUUCUAUAUGCUCAUUAUACAUUUAAAGCAACAGUUUCACAUGGCCUUGCCUUAUCAUAGUGCACACCUGUAGCUUUAUCCAUGGACCUAAAUAUUUUUCCUUGAACAUAAAUUUGUCCCAAGACUAUUCCUCUUUUUAGUGUAAUUAUGAAAGCUCACUAUUUCUUAUUAUGUAGACUUUACUUGCUAUUAUGAGGAAUUGGCACAUUCUAUUCUUGAUUCUAACUUUAUUACAUCUUUCUAGCAAAGCAACUAAGUCCAUUUCUAAAAACUUUCUUUCUAGAAUUAAUCAAAUCAAGAAUUCUAUAAAAUCAUUCAUUCAUCUAAACAGCAUUAAUUCAUGAAAGUUCAUCUUUGUGUUGAUCUGCAGAAAAUCUGGUCAAUAGGGUGGGCUAAUGCCCAGGAACUAUUAUAUUAAUAAUGACAGGAAAGGCAUAUCAGUUGCAGGAAGCAAUCCUCUGGUGAAAUCCCUUUGGGACCCGUACCUCACAGAGCUCACCCACCGCAGAUGUGCAGAAGCAGCAGGCCACCUCCAGGAAGGCAACCUUAGCCUAUCCUAGGUGGCUCCUGGCACCCAACCCUACAGCUCAUUUUGCAGACAAAGGCCAAGAGGUGUCCUAGUUCAUGUCCAUAAAAAAAUGACCAGAAAGCUAGAAGUAAGGUCCACCUAUGCAGUGGUAAGACUUCCUAACAUUUUAAAGAGCAUACAUUUUUUUUUUAGGGUUUUUUUUUUUUUUGGAACUGGACUUUUUGAAAUAGUAACACAGUUACUAUUCUGUUGCCGUGAUAAAAUACCAUGACCAGGUCAUCUUAUUUGUGGGAGGAGGUAUUUGGGCUUACAGUUCCAUAGGGAUAAAAAUCCAUCCUGGUGGAGAAGCAUGGUACCAAGCAGCAGCGAGAAGCUACGAUUUCACACCCUCAGCUACAAGCGUGAGUCAAGAGAGUGAGCCGGAAGCAUGCGAUACCUCCAGUGGUACACUUCUACCAGCAAGGCUAGUCCACCUAAACCUCACCAGCAGCACGGCCGACUGGGACGCUCUCCUCAAUCACAGCACAGUACCCAUUAGUACUAUACAGUGUGUCUAUGCAGGAGGCGAUUUUCUCCUGUUAGUUUCUUUUAAUAAACAAAGCCUUGGAUUCUCCUGCAUCAACAGGUACAAAUAUGCUAGCCAAGCAGAACACACAGGUAUUUUGAUUGAUAACUUACAUCUAAAAUGUACAUAGUAAGUUCAUUGCUUAGGAGAGCAACCCGAGCCUCUUUCCAAGCCAGGCAUAGCAGCUUAUAUGUGCACUCUUCCUGCAGGAAGAAGAUGAGGACUAUUAGCUACAUCUCUGUGGAGCUCAUUUCGUUUACAUAUGUAUGUUACUUCCAAAUUUGCAUUUUCAAUGACAAAAUUGCCAAAUCCAGAACAGUUGUCCUACGAAAGGUGCUUUGAACCAUCUUAAAGCUAUAAUGCCAUUUCGCCAGCAGAUGGCGCUUCGUAGGUUAGGGUAGGGAUGCAGUGGGAGGGGAGUUUUUAAACCUGCUCUGAAAAUAUAAAAUGCAUUUAAUGGAAGGAAAAAUGAUAAUUAUAAUCUCAAAAAAUUUAAAAAAACAUGCAAUUAGUGUUAAAGGUAAAAUACAACCAUUAUUUGUAACAAGUCACUACAAAUAAAGCAAAUAAAAGAUAAAACCUAGGUCGUAAAAAAAUGUAAGCAGUUUGUAUGAAUGAAUAAACAAUUAAAC